CCCCAUCUCUCCAAGCUGACGUGGCACCGAUGGAAAUAUCUUCCCAUUCGGGUCGGCGUGGCCACGGAUUACCCCCUCCUCCUUCCCCCAACGACACCAUUACCACCACCAAAUUAACCCCCACGCUCCUCCAUUUUCUCCCCAUUCUCAUGGAGCAGGGAGCGUGGGGACGAGGAGGCGACGGAGAAGCGGGGGAAGCGGCGGCGCCGCCUCCUCCUGAGCACGGCGGCGGCGGCGGCGGCGGCGCUCGGUCCGCGGCGCUUGGAGGGGUAUCCGGCUCCGCCGCGUGCCAGGUGAUCCGGUGGGAUCGCUUCCUCCCCCGGCGCUCCCUCCGCGUCCUCCUCGUCGAGCAAGACGACUCCACCCGCCAUGUCGUCACCGCCCUCCUCCGCAAAUGCAGCUACCACGUUGCGGCGGUGGCGGACGGGCUCAAAGCGUGGGAGGUCAUGCAGGAGAAGCGCUACGGAUUCGAUCUCGUCCUCACGGAAGUCGCGAUGCCGUCGCUCUCUGGAAUUGGUCUCCUCUCGCAGAUCAUGGCCACUGACGAGUGCAAGAACGUCCCCGUCAUCAUGAUGUCUUCUCGAGAUUCGGUUGGGAUUGUGCUCAAAUGCAUGCUGAAGGGCGCUGUGGAUUUUCUGGUGAAGCCGCUGAGGAAGAACGAGCUGAGAAACUUGUGGCAGCAUGUGUGGAGGAGGCGCUGCUCGAGUAGCCAAGCAAAUGCAUCUGACAACAGUGCUGCUAGCAAUCAUUUGAGUGCCAAUGCUGGUGAUGGGUCCAAAAGCGGAGAGAAUAGUAAGUAUCAGAGCUCAGGCAGUAAGCAAGAGAUGGAAAUUGAGAGUGCUCAAAAUUUCGGGGAGAAUGUUAUGGCUGAAGCUGCAAAUUUUCCAAGAGGAGUGGGAGAAAAACCAGAGGAACCUGAUGGCACCAUAACAGUGAGAGCAAAUGUGUUAAACGUGGAGGAUGGCGGAGAAACUAGAGAUAAGUCCAAUGGAAAUGCAGUUGAAGUUAAUCGGCAGCCUCUUUUUUUCGCUGAGAAGAACAUGGAGAAUAAGUGUCUCAAUGAUGGAAUCUGUUAUGGGGAUGAUUCACGACAUCAUUUAAGAUCUAGGGAGGAUGUAAUUUCUGAUCUUAAUUUGCAGCAUCAAAAUGAUUCUUCAAAGAAUAAUGUAGAUGUUAUCGAGCCAAUGGCUAUCAGAAAAUCCAGUUCUUCCCGUUUGAAUCUGAACACUGGGGAAAAUGCAUUAUGUGAAGCUUCUACAUGCUCUGAAGCCAAGACUAAAAAUGAAUCUGGUUCCUCUCAAUUUCUGGAGCUUACUCUGAGAAGACCACACCUCAACGGUUGUGUAAAAGAGGACUUCAAAGAAAAGCAUGUGUUAAUCCAUUCUAAUGCCUCUGCCUUUUCGAGGUAUAGCAAUAAACGGGUUCAAUCAUCAUCACCAAAGCCAUAUUCUUCAUCUAUAUGCAUCAGAAGCAUGGAAUAUUCUGAUAAGGAGAAAAGUACCACCCUCCAACGUAAAGAGAUAUCCCCUUCCUUUCAAGGCAAUGCAGAGGAAGCCGCAAUGCAUUCUCAAUUAUCUUUUGCUACCAACAAGGAGGAUGUUGGUGCUUCAUGUUCUGUUUCAUUAAGGGAGAAUGCUCGUGCCGGCCAUUCCUCCAAUGGAAUUGACACUUCCCUCCAUACUCCCCAAUUUGGCUUUAUUUCCCUGCCAGUUCCUGUUCGAGCUAUACCUUAUCAUGGCUUGCAUGCUAGCUAUGGUGCUAUCCUGCAGCCAAUUUUAUAUUCGGAAAGUUCCUCUCAACACCAGAAUUUAGCUGUAAUCGAGAAAACAUCAGUUCAGAUUACUUCUGAUCAGUCUGAUUGCCGUGAAAAUAACCUUAUUUAUCAUUCUCAAUGUAAGGAACUUCACCAUUGUGAAGAAAACCAUCUUGUCCAACAUUGGUCACAGGAAGUUGAUAGAGAACAAGUCAAUCAAAGUGCCAGCAGUAGCCAGGAUAUUGUUAGAGGUAGUGGAAGCGAUGGUAGUCUUGAAACUGCAGAGGCGACAACAAAGACAGUAGCUGUGAUGGAAAGCGGGAAUGAAAGUGGUGUCCAGAACUGCAACAUAAAAGGGUCAGACUCUGAUCGCUCUCGUCGUGAGGCUGCCUUAAUUAAAUUUCGCUUAAAGAGGAAAGACAGAUGCUUCGAGAAGAAGGUCAGAUAUCACAGUAGGAAGAAACUUGCAGAGCAACGGCCAAGAGUGAAAGGGCAGUUUGUGCGCCAGAAAUUUCCUGAAUCCUUACCAGCAACAGAGGCAGAAGAAUGACAAUGAAUAGUUUUCAGCAUAACAGUUACUUAAAUGCUUGGUUUCCUGAGACAGGGUGUUUGAGGUCGUUUUGCAGGAUGUCUGUGUGUUUUGUUUCUUUGGAGCCCGAAUGCUUGUUGUGCUUCGAAUUUGUAGUCCCACAUUCUUGAGGUUUUUCCUGCACGAUCCAGCGGCAGGGAGGGUAAGGAAUCUCUCACGUGCACGCGCUCGCGCGUGCACGUUGUAUAGCAAAUAUCUUGAAAACUCUGAUAUGUCGACUGACGAAGCGAGAAACAACUUUUUUUGAAAAAUGAUUAAUUCCCGGAUGCAUCAGCAGCAGAUGUCAAGUUCAUUGUAUAGUGUGAGAUAGCAUAUCAUUUUGUAUAGGAAUGUGGAUUGUGGCAACUUACCUGAGCAUUUUGUAACUCAUAAUAAUCAAUUUCAAUGGUACGGCACUUUUGGAUGCUCAGCCCCUGAUUCCCUUUGCUAAAAUUAAUGUGUUUUCGAAAAGAUGUAUUCUACAUGUAA